ACAGGCAUGAGCCACUGCGCCCGGCCCUGAAUUUGCAGAGUUCUGAUUAAUGAAGUUUUGUUCUUUCACUGUGCCCUGUAAUUCAGUAAUUCUGUAAUUCAGUUCAGAUACAGAUAGUGCUGAGUCAGGUUGGGGUCUCUACUAUUGCUACCCCUCUCCAGUCACCCCCUGUUUGCAGAAGAGUAGGGAAUGGCCUGGACUUGGGAUUUGGCAUAGGAGGGUCUGGCAUCAAACCAUGGUUCUGAUGCUUUACUGGCCAAGUGAUCGAGUGAUCUUUCAUUCCCCAAGCACUUAUUGAGGGCCAGCACUGGGUUGGUGCUGGAAAGACAAAGAUAAAUAGGACACAAUUUCCUCCCUUCCUCCUUUUCUUUUUUCUUUUCUUUUCUCUUCUCUUCUUUUCUUUUUUUCUCUCUCUCCCUCUUUCUUUUACUGAGGAGUUCUUUUAACUAUGUCAAUCAGAAAAAUAUAAAGUAUUCAGAAUAAUAAAAUGAACACCCAUGAUAAGAACAUCCCGCUUAAGACAUAAAGCGGCUGAGUGUGGUGGCUCACCCCUGUAAUCCCAGGAUUUUGGGAGGCCGAGGUGGGCAGAUCAUGAGGUCAGGAGAUCAAGACCAUCCUGGCCAACAUGAUGAAACCCCGUCUCUACUAAAAACACAAAAAUUAGCCGGGCGUGAUGGCAUGUGCCUG
rnacentral:lncRNA from 10 species